rnacentral:lncRNA from 1 species
AGAGAGAGGCAGCUGCUGGCUGUGAACUUCCUGCCACGGAUUGUGCCCUUAUCAGAGCUGUACAAGGUCUCUCAGAAGGAUCCCUGUGCAGCUCCGCCUUCUCGGUCCUUUUCUUCAUGGAAUCAAAGAAUCAGCCUUUUGAUGGAAGGAAGACAUACCACAGAGAUGCUGAAUGUGUGCCCCCCUCUGCACCCAAUAUAAGGUUCAGAGAUGCUUGAAGAUCUGGGUCAGGCUGAAUGUCUCUCCAUUUGUUCUCCAGAUGGGCUGCAGUUACCAGCCCCUUGGUGACUUGUGGGCAGAUCAAAAUCGAUCCUACAGCCCCAGUUGCUCUUGGUUUCCUUCUGAGUUCCUGGGCAGGUGUUGGUACUGAAAAAAUAUGUCACAAGUCAGAGCAGCAUAAUGCAGGGUGAAGUAGCCACAUACUGAAUUGAAAGAGAUACACACAAUCAAGUCCUCCAAGAUGACAAAAGGCAGCUCCAGUAUGCCACUGGGAGAAACUCAUUCUCACAGUCAACACCAGGAAGGUACUCCAAUCAGAGUCAAGCCAGAUGCAUGUCCAGGAAAGAGACACGUCAGCAUUGAUGUCCAUUGUCAGCUGCUUCCUGAAGGACUACUUUGUUGUGAGCUGUUGGAAAGCAGCACCAUGCAGUGUUGAAGGCAUGGAUUCCACCGUUAAAUUCCCUGGGUUCAAAUCCAGCUGCUGCUGUUUAUUGUGAACAAGGGUAAUGUUUACCUCUUGGAGCUGAACUGAUUGAUCAGUUCCUAUCUCAGAUCCAUUUAUGACCCUCUCUGCUGUACCUGGUACCCGAGAGACUUACAUUUACAGACUCCACCACCCAGCUUAGGACCCUCCGACUUCCACUGGGGUUCAGCCGACAGAAGGUGGGAAGAGAAUGGUCAGGGUAUUUAUUACCUUCCAGCGCCUCCACUCAGCCCACACUCACUGAGAUCCUAAUUAGGGCAGAAGAUGCCAUCCUCAACAGCCACAGCUCUUAGGGGGAGGCCACAGCUCUCACUCUAGAUUCUAAGUACACGGCUACCUGCCUUGCCCUUUCCCAUUGUUGUGAUGAGCAGUAAUGAUUCCCAUUGUCCAUAGCCUGUGGGUGCUUUGGCAUCGUGGAUGGUUCCCUUAAUCCAGAUAACAUGUCUGCAUGUGAAAUGUCUCCCUUACUAAACUCUCUUCACUUAUAUCCUUUGAAGAGGCCAUAUGUUUUCUGGAAAAGACCCUGAUUGAUACAAGGUUGUAGGGAAGUCCAUGUGCUUAGACAGUGCCCGAUGCAUAGUAAGUGCUCAGUCAAUGCCAGGGAUUAUUAUGAGCAGCGGUGAUGGUGGUGCAAGUAGCAGGAGUACAACCCAGAACCCCUUAGCCCCAUGAGAAAUACAUAAGUUUUUUUUUUUUUCCUUUUUCUUGUCUGAGCCAUCCCAGAACUUGAAGAUCUGCCUGGCGAACCAUUGGGUUCAAUGGUGAGAGCAGAUUAGCUGAAAGAACUGAGAGGGAGUUUAUCCUGAAGGCAGAAAAGGGAUAGCACAGGGGAAGGAACCUCCUUAGACAUGAGCCCCAGCAGCAAGUGCUGGAGCCAGAGGAUGGGGAAAAGGCUGCUGGCAGGGAGCCCCCCGGGACCAGUGGCUGGCUGAGAAGAGCCCAUCCGAGAUCAGGCGGGGAAGGGCUCUCUGGGCAGCUGCCCCUGUGUUUAGGGAAUGGGAUUCGCCCACCAUUGGUUCAAUAACAGCAUGAAUCCUCCUCACAGCACCUAAGUCACUUGUAAGGAGAUCCUUAAUGGGAAAUAGAUGAACUCCAGUAUCUGUACUUUAGAAACAUACUGGGUGCAAGUUGGGGACCCAAGGCAGAGGAUACUCCUGUCCCCUGUUGAAGAACUUCUGUCAGAGUUGGCCCACAAGGAACUCUCCAUUUCCCACCACUGGAAGGCUCACUCUUUUAGAGAAAAGGUGCAUCAGUUGGGGUCCUGGGAGAAGGCAGACAAUGCAGUCCCAGUGGGUUAUCAGGGCAGAGUUGAAUACAGAAGCCAUUUACAAGGUAUGGGCAGCCUAUAGCAGCAGCCGGCUCAAAGUGGCCCAUGGCAGCAGAUGGUGUACAGCCUUCCCAGUGCCAUCUGCCUUGAGAGACUUUGUGUUGCUCGUUUGACAUUGCCCAUGAGUGAGCAUUUACAUCAAACACCAAAAAUCAAUCUUUUUAGUUUUUGUUUUGGGUUUUCAUUUUUGUUUUGGGAGAACUGGUUUACUAGCACGUCACUCUAAGAUGCAUCUGAGGGCUAUUAACAGCUACAAAGGGUUACCACUUCUAGGCUUGAAAGAACUAGGGGAGGUAGCAAUUUUCAGAACCCCUAAGCAAAGAACUCUGUAGACAAGGCUUCUGGACAGGAGCUGGGGUCUUUGGUAGAAAGACAGAUCUCAGAUCUAACUCAUGGUAACUCCACUGGGAACGAGCCAGGAUGAUAUUUACACAACUGCCCUACCUUUGAUGCGUGGCUCCCAUUGGCCAAACCCAUGAGAACCAGAAGACCAAGAAGCCAGUGGCUAGAAUUCAUGCAGGCCAAUCUUCUAGGUCUAAAGGGUGAAUAUUAAAGAGCAUAUCUGGAGCAAAAUCAGCAACCCCAUGGUAGAGGAAAGUCAAGCACCUUGUUGAGAGUGGAGAAAGGGCUGUCCCUGGGAUUUUGGAGCCUUUUGGAACCCAGGCGUCUGUGAUAACAGGGCAGAUUUUCCCGGGCAGGUGUUUAGAUGUUUGAGGUGAAGGGCAUGAUGCCAUGGAAGGCAAAGAAGGGACUGCAACUAUAUGGACACCAGUUUGCCUACUUCAAUCUGGUCCAGUGCAGCCUAGCAUCCACAUCUGAAUUUGACUAAGGAACCCUCAUCUUUGGAAACAUGGCCCUUGUGUCCUUGGAAUUCAUAAUGAAUCCCUUUUCUUUGGCUUCUGUUAUUUAGCACAUUUCAGACUAGAAAAGAAACAUAAACAUUUCCAUGCCACAGCUAAUACAAUUAUAAGGUCAUUACACAAUCUGUAGUGCAAAACAGCUGUUUCAAAUAUUCUUAUUAGAAUUUAGCAGAGUUUUAUUUAUUUGGGACAAAAUAAAUUAUGAUUUAAUAAGACUGUUAAAUGUUCAUCACUAAGUGGUUACUUACUAAAGCUGCAUGGCACUCCACACACACACACACACACACACACACACACACACACACACACACACGAUAUCUACAUAGAAACAGGUCCAUAUGUUUUGAUCUAAACCUUCUUUUCUCCCAAAUUAUGGCCUCUUCUUUUAACGACAGAUUUUAUAAAGCCAAGUAGAUUUCAACUCCAAAUUUCUGUGACUGGGUUGGCUUUUAAGUCAAAUUCAUGUAAAAAUACCUUGACUUCUAAAAAUUAUCUCCCUGGCACUUCUAAAGAAGAAAUUGCUUGCAUUGUGAUUCACCAAAUGAUAAAAUAUCUGUGAUCAGCCCCAAUAUUUGUGUGUGUGUGUGUAUGUUCACACACAUAGGUUCUUAUGGGAUUUAUAUUAUUUCUUACUCAACUGAGACACUUUAUAUACAACCCUCUUUUCUGGGGUGAGGAUUGGGGGCUGAGAGGAGGAAAGAUUUUGCCUGAUGACCCACUGGUGAUCUAAUAUAGAUGUGUCAUUUUGUCAGGCUGCAAUGCUGUGGCAGUUAAUCCAGCAGCAUUUAUAAUAAUUGCUGUAUCCUGCAGAAGCCGUACUGUGACACAGUGUAUCCCUGGAAUUCAUAAGUAGGUUGUUUAAAUGCAAAAUAAUUAUUAAGCACUCAUUCUUGGAAUUCACCCUGAGAUAAGUAGCCCUUAAGAAAAUGUCUAAUACAAAAUGACAUUUGGGUUUUAGAAUAUAUAACCUUUUGUAUUAAUGGUAUCCCAAGGUGUUUUACAUAGUAAUUGGAUGGUAGUGUGGUAGGUAUUUCAGUAAAUGAAAUGGCUCUUGGGACUGAAGUAGAGGUUUAGCUAUUCUUGGAUUUCAAGUUGGAUUUCAUUGACUAUGGGGAGGCGAGGUGGAAUGCCAGGCUGUUUAAAAGUAGCCCAAGGCCUUCUUGAAACUUCACUAAAAACAUCAGGAAGCAGAAGAGAUCUCAGAGGUAAAGAGCCCAAACCCCUCUGUGAUAGGCGAGGGUCCGGGAUUCAAAGAUGAGUUAGUGGCCCACACGGGGAUGGACAUCAGAUCUCCUACCUAAGAGGGCCUGAGGUAUAAUAUCUGUUUUAGGUUCACAUUUCUUUAUGUCUGCCAGAUCCUAGCUGGGUAAUUAAGCAAAUUCCUUCAUAUUGAUGAGCCUCCAUUUUGUCCUCCACCAAAUUAAAAUAAGUUAAUCUGCCAGAGUCAGAGGAGAGAUAAAAAUUAUACACACACACACACACACACACAAACACGUGUGUAUAUAAUUUGUUAUGUAUAGUGUAUGUGUAUAAUUUGUUACAUGUAUAGUAACAAAUUCAGUUCCAGGAACAUAGUAGGUGCUUCAUAAUGGUGGUUCUUGUUAUAAAUCCAUGUUGCCAUAAAUCUUUCCUGCUUGAACACUUCCAGUAUCAAUCUGCAUCACUUAUCAUAUUAAUGCUAUUAUGUUUUACAAUUACAAGUUAUAAUUAGGCAAAUAUGACUCAUCCGACUUUCCAUGUCCAAGUCUCAGCACUCCACCCGCACAUCGAGAAACAAAUCAAAAUGCAAUUAGAUGCUGACUAGAUGCUAAGUACAAAGUUUAUAAUUUAUUGUCUCCUAGAAGAUUACAUUGUGCAAGUGAAUUGAUCUCAUGUCAGUCAUGGACGUGUUGAGACUGGAUCAGGCACGGAGAAGAUGGAAGUAGAUAGUCACUUGACAUGUUUGGUGGGGGAAUGUCUUAAAUUGCACUGAGUAGAUGUUGAAAACUGCAGCCACACAGCAACAGGCUGAGAGAGAGACGGGCAGGCAUAUUUGAUAAUCCUUAUAUAUGGACCACUACCACUCAAUCUAGAUUUAUGGGAGUUCAUGUAUAAUCUUCCCCCCAAAUUAAGCAUUGUUGUUAAUUUACCAAAGGAGUCACGACCAGAGGGUUCUUUGAAAUGUUUCAUCUCCCUAGUGUGAGUAAAGUAUGAUAGGACUCGUUUUAAAAUCAAUUUACAAGUAAAAUUUUCAGGAACACAUCUGCUAGGUAAAGCAAGUUCUGCCAGUAUCCUGCAACGAAAUGACAGUGAUAUGUGCGGUUUUUAUAAUGGAUAAAAUUGUGUGAGCAGGGAACAUAAUUAUAUAUUUUAGAAAGAGCAUAGAAAUACUUAUAAACCUGGGCUUUCAAAAAUCACAUUUUAAAUUUCUAAAUCAGUGUAUGAACCUAUUCAGUAUUUAUGUAUUUCUCUAGAUGGGCCACCUCUGAGACACCAGGUGGAUCAUCUCACAAACAUUAUGGGGCACCUCCUCAUGGCCACACCCUGGAGGCUGUUAGAAAAACUGCAAAACCUUUGCACACUGGUGACCUAAUUUAAUCCUUGGACAACUCUGUGGAUGGGAAUAUCAUUAUCCCCAUUCUAUGGAUAAGGAGAUUAAGGCUCAUAAAAAUGAAGCCAUGUACACAAGCUCAUGAGACUGGAAUUCUGGGCUGGCUUCCUACAUUUUUCUUAAACCAUACCACUGCCCCCUCUGCUCCCACUGCCCUGGUUCAGAGCAGCGCCAUCUCUCACCCCACCUGUCACAGCAUCUCCUCUUCCGGGCUCUGCCUCCAGCUUUGUUCCAGUCCAUACAUCACAACUCUGACCUUUCUGCUCUCUGCUCAAAAUCUAAGUGGCUUCUCAUAGCCAUGGAGAAAGUCCAGACUCCAUAACGUAGACUCUCCACCAUCUGUGCCCCAUAUACGUCUCUCCCCUUAUUCUCACUCCUCCCUGCUUUGCAUGUUUCAUUCCGAGCCACACAGUCUGAUUGUAGGUCUCUGCAAAUGCGACAUAUGUCACCUCAGUGCUUGCUCCUGGGUCUCUUCUUUCUGAAAUCCUUUUCUCCCCUCUUUGUCUGGCUCACUCCUGCUUCCCCUGCAUAUCACAGCCAAAGACCCUUCUCUGCCCCUCCCUUCUCUUGGUGAGCUUUCCCAUGCUUCUGGGCUUUCAUAAUCCUCUCUUUUGGCCCUUGAUGCAUUAUUUCAUGAGCACGUGAUUGGCUGGAUGUAUCCCUUGAUAUCAGAGACUCUGUGCUCAUCCCUGUCUCCCCAGAGCCUAUCUCAGGUCUUUGUCCACAUUAGGUGCUCAGUAAAUAUUUGCUGGAUGGAUAAAAGCAUGUGUGAAUGAGAGUAAAACGUAGUCCAUGGCUCCCAAAUAUAAGUCCAGUUCUCUUUUCAAUGCACCAAAGCUAACGUAACAAGAGACAACAAGUACAACCACCCUCCCUGCCCCUGGGGCCUCAUACUUUUGCUCAAAGACCCAACAGCCAUGGGACAUCCAGACCCAAAAUAGAGAAAUGGCAGCAAAAGCUGCUGCAUCCAGGGCUCAGGGGUUCCUUGCAGCACCAUUCCCUUAGGAAUCUCUAGGGAAGAAUCCUUCCUUGCCACUCCCUACCUUCUGCUGAGCCCCAGCAGUCCUUGGUGUCUCUUGGUCUGUGUCACCCCCAUCUCUGCUCCAUUACCACAUGGUCUUCCUUCCUACAUUACUCGUGUGGCCUUCAUCUAGUGAGAACCUGAGGUAUUACAUUUAGGGCCUAUCCUGACCCAGUACAAUUCAUCUAAGCUUAGCUUAUUACAUCCCCAUAGGCCCUCUAUCUAAAUAAGGUCAUGUAGGAGUUCCCACUGUGGUGCAAUGAGAUCAUCAGUGUCUCUGCAACACCAGGACACAGGUUCAAUCCCCAGACUAGCACAGUGGAUUAAAAGGAUCCAGAGUAGCUACAGUUACAGUGGAGGUCACAACUGCAGCUGGGAUCUGAUUCU